UGAAGUCAUGACUCUUCUUUUCUUCUAGAAUCGCGCGGCCCGAGUCCGAGUGGGCAAGGGGGACAAGCCAGUGACCUACGAGGAGGCACACGCACCUCACUACAUCGCGCACCGCAAAGGCUGGCUGUCGCUGCACACAAGUAACCUGGAUGGGGAGGAGCAUGCCGCAGAGCGGACAGUGGAAGAUGUCUUCCUCCGCAAAUUUAUGCUGGGCACCUUCCCAGGCUGCCUGGCUGACCAGCUUGUCCUCAAGCGCCGGGCUAACCAGCUGGAGAUCUGUGCCCUGGUCCUGAGACAGCUGCCCGCACACAAGUUCUACUUCCUCGUGGGCUACAGCGAGACCCUGCUGUCCCACUUCUACAAGUGUCCUGUGCGUCUGCACCUGCAAACUGUGCCCUCCAAGGUUGUGUAUAAGUACAUCUAGGCCAUCUGCCCCUUCUGCAUCAAGCUCUAGCCUGCGAAGGACAGAAACCUGUGGGAAAGGGCUGAAGUAGAAAUGGGGGAAGUAGGUCCCAUCGGACUACUGAGGCUUUGUUUUCAAAGUUGCCCUCGAAUAAAUAGACUUUUUCCAUGUU